rnacentral:lncRNA from 1 species
AAAGGUCAUCAUGCUGGUAUCAACCAGGAAAAAUAAGGUUGCUUAAAGAUAUGAUUUUCAUGCAGUCCUGUUGCUAGUAAGUCAGGAUGCACAACAGCUUCAGGUCAGAUUAAACAAGUUGUAGUACGCACGGCGAUGCUAAGUAAGUAAUUUUGUUCUUGUUUCGGGUCCCUGUCUAGUCUAGUAGCUUAAUACUCCCUCUGUACCUAAAUACUUGUAGUUGGGGAGACACAUGCAAGUUGCUGUUUCGAUUGCACAGAAUUUAAUUAUGGCAGGCUACAUCCUUUGUUGUGGGCAGAUAAAUCAUGACAUAAGAGAAGUCAAUUUUGGUUCACAUACUACCUCGCUGUUGAGCUGGCGGGAGCGCAUGAGGCUGCCUGGCUCGAGGAGGUGUCGCAGGAGAAGGCAGGCCAGCAGGGAUAAGUAAAAAGUCAUUCUCGGGUCAACCAGCAAAAUAAGUAAGCAGCAGUAGGACAGGAUGUACAGGUUCAGGUCAGGUUAAGUAAUCUUGUUUUGUUUCUAGUAGUAGAUGUUGAUGUCGCGAGAUACAAAAAUCAUAAGAAUGAAAAGAUGUCAAUUUUGGUGAGGUUACCUCGCCGGAGACCUUGGUGGACAGGUGGCGGGAGCGCAUGAGCCUGCUUGGGGCGAG